rnacentral:rRNA from 1 species
AACGAACGCUGGUGGCGUGCCUCAUACAUGCAAGUCGAGCGAGGUUUCGAGUCGAGCGGCGUACGGGUGAGUAUCGCGUGAGUAACCUACCCUAUAGUUGGGAAUAACCCCCCUAACGGGGGACUAAUACCGAAUAUUGAGUGGCACUGCAUAGUGCUUAGUCGAAAGGGCGCAAGCCCGCUAAAGGAUGGACUCGCGUCUGAUUAGCUAGUUGGAGGGUAACGCCCACAAGGCGAUGAUCAGUAGCCGACCUGAGAGGGUGAUCGGCCACAAUGGGACUGAGACACGGCCCAUACUCCUACGGGAGGCAGCAGUGGGGAAUAUUGCACAAUGGGCGAAAGCCUGAUGCAGCAACGCCGCGUGAGCGAAGAAGGCCUUUGGGUCGUAAAGCUCUGUCGGGUAGGAAGAUAAUGACGGUAUACCCGAGGAAGCCCCGGCUAACUACGUG